AGUGGAUGGGGAGCAACCUAUGUUGUGCGUGUGUAAAGGUAGUGCCAAGAAAAGCGAUGAUCAUGUUGAAAAUCAAUUCCCGGUACCCGAAACCGACACAGGUGGGCAAGUAGAGAAUACUAAGGGGCGCGAGGUAACUCUCUCCAAGGAACUCGGCAAAAUGACCCCGUAACUUAGGGAGAAGGGGUGCCACCGAGAGGUGGUCGCAGUGAAGAGGCCCAGGCGACUGUUUAGCAAAAACAUAGGUCUCUGCAAACUCGAAAGAGGAGGUAUAGGGGCUGACGCCUGCCCAGUGCCGGAAGGUUAAAGAAGUUGGUCAGUUUUAGGAUGAAGCUAGCGACUGAAGCCCCGGUGAACGGCGGCCGUAACUAUAACGGUCCUAAGGUAGCGAAAUUCCUUGUCGGGUAAGUUCCGACCCGCACGAAAGGCGUAACGAUCUGGGCGCUGUCUCGGAGAGAGGCUCGGCGAAAUAGGAUUGUCUGUGAAGAUACAGACUACCUGCAUUUGGACAGAAAGACCCUAUGAAGCUUUACUAUAGCUUGGAAUUGUGUUCGGGCUUCCUGUGCGCAGGAUAGGUGGGAGGCGUAGAAGGUAUUCUUGUGGGGAUACUGGAGCCAACGGUGAGAUACCACUCUCAGGAGGCUAGAAUUCUAACUUAAUUAAGGACAGUUUCAGGUGGGUAGUUUGACUGGGGCGGUCGCCUCCAAAAAGGUAACGGAGGCGUACAAAGGUUCCCUCAGACUGGUUGGAAAUCAGUCGAAGAGUGCAAAGGCAGAAGGGAGCUUGACUGCGAGAAGUACAGUUCGAGCAGGGUGGAAACACGGUCUUAGUGAUCCGACGGUGCUGUGUGGAAGGGCCGUCGCUCAACGGAUAAAAGUUACUCUAGGAUAACAGGCUGAUCUCCCCCAAGAGUUCACAUCGACGGGGAGGUUUGGCACCUCGAUGUCGGCUCAUCGCAACCUGGGGCGGAAGUACGUCCCAAGGGUUGGGCUGUUCGCCCAUUAAAGCGGUACGUGAGCUGGGUUCAGAACGUCGUGAGACAGUUCGGUCCAUAUCCGAUGUAGGCGUGAGAAUAUUGAGAGGAGCCUUCCUUAGUACGAGAGGACCGGGAAGGACGCACCGCUGGUGUACCUGUUAUGAUGCCAAUUGUAAACGCAGGGUAGCCAAGUGCGGAGAGGAUAACCGCUGAAAGCAUCUAAGUGGGAAGCCCACCUCAAGAUGAGUAUUCUGGUGUAAGGUCACGGGAAGACGACCCGUAAAUAGGCACGAGGUGGAAGUGCAGAGAUGUAUGAAGCCGAAGUGUACUAAUAGACCGUCGGCUUGAUA
rnacentral:rRNA from 1 species